GACGAACGCUGGCGGCGUGCUUAACACAUGCAAGUCGAGCGGUAAGGCCCUUUCGGGGGUACACGAGCGGCGAACGGGUGAGUAACACGUGGGUGACCUGCCCUCAGCUCUGGGAUAAGCCUGGGAAACCGGGUCUAAUACUGGAUAUGACUCCAUGACGCAUGUUGUGGGGUGGAAAGCCUUGUGCGGCUGAGGAUGGGCCCGCGGCCUAUCAGCUUGUUGGUGGGGUGAGGCCUACCAAGGCGACGACGGGUAGCCGGCCUGAGAGGGCGACCGGCCACACUGGGACUGAGACACGGCCCAGACUCCUACGGGAGGCAGCAGUGGGGAAUCUUGCGCAAUGGGCGAAAGCCUGGCGCAGCGACGCCGCGUGA
rnacentral:rRNA from 1 species